rnacentral:rRNA from 1 species
GACGAACGCUGGCGGCGUGCUUAACACAUGCAAGUAGAACGGAAAGGCCCUGCUUUUGUGGGGUGCUCGAGUGGCGAACGGGUGAGUAACACGUGAGUAACCUGCCCUUGACUUUGGGAUAACUUAAGGAAACUGGGGCUAAUACCGGAUAGGAGCUCCUGCUGCAUGGUGGGGGUUGGAAAGUUUCGGCGGCUGGGGAUGGACUCGCGGCUUAUCAGCUUGUUGGUGGGGUAGUGGCUUACCAAGGCUUUGACGGGUAGCCGGCCUGAGAGGGUGAGCGGCCACACUGGGACUGGGAUACGGCCCAGACUCCUACGGGAGGCAGCAGUGGGGAAUAUUGCACAAUGGGCGGAAGCCGGAUGCAGCAACGCCGCGUGCGGGAUGACGGCCUUCGGGUUGUAAACCGCUUUCGCCUGUGACGAAGCGUGAGUGACGGUAAUGGGUAAAGAAGCACCGGCUAACUACGUG